GAAGGCUUAAUGCUAAAAUCUCUAGAUUAUAUACACUUAUUUUGCAACAAUUUAUUUUGCUUAUUAGAACGCCACGUCGUCUUCCACCAAUUAUGGAAACAACAGAUAAAACUAGUGAGUCACCCUCCAAUAGCCACUGUCUGAACUCUAUUCAAUCUACAUCAAUCGUUUUGUCAGA